GUGUUCACUUCAGCAGCACACAUACUGAAAUUGGAAUGAUUCAGAGAUUAGCAUGACCCCUGUGCAAGGACGACAUGAAAAUUCAUGAAAUAUUCCUUUUUUUU
ensembl:snRNA U6 U6 spliceosomal RNA